rnacentral:misc_RNA from 1 species
GAUUUGAACCCUUCAACACAUUGAACCGUGGCUUCGGCCCAAACUUGAAUGUAAUGAAUGUAUAACAACACAAACAAAAUAUAACUUUUAACAACGGAUCUCUUGGCUCU